rnacentral:misc_RNA from 1 species
UAAUGUGCGAAAAGUAAUGCGAAUUGCAUACCUCUGCGAGUCAUCUAGUCUUUGAACGCAAAUGGCACUGUCACGUCAAGUGGCAGUAUGCCUGUUUGAGAACCAUACAAUCACUCACAACAGUUGCUUGUGGACUUGGUCCCUGACACACACACGUGCGUGUCUGGACUGGAAUUGUUAGCUCGGCGUGCGCGCAGUACCUGUGUGAUAGUCAAUCACAUGUACCCGCACUCUAUCCUGACGCUACAAUAAUACGCUGAACAGCAUCAUCAUAAUCAUGGUCUCAAAUCAGGCAAGGCUACCCGCUGAACUUAA